GGGCAGUUCACCUGUGUGACUGGAAGGAGUGGAAUCUGGCUCCACCUCUCCUAGACCCCAUUUAAGGGCUACCUGCCACCAAAGAAGGAUCUCCUCUUGGAGAUUGUUCCCUUUGGGCUUUUCCUGAAAGCCCAGGAUGUGGGUGAGCAUUUUCAUUGAUUUUCAAUUAUCUCUUUCCACUGUGAUAAUCUUUCUAGCUAUACACUCUGUAGAUACUAGCAUGACCACUCUGUGUAUUUGCAGAUUAUACACCAGCUUAACCACACUGAAUAUUUGAUGAUUAUACAAAUGGCUUCUGGGUGUUUCAUCAUCUUCCUUUCAGUUUCUAAUCCAGGUAUCUCCUGCUCGCCUGACUCAAGAAGGACACCUCUUUUCACAUUCAUAUACUCUUUUCAGUUAUGGAGCAUCUCCUCCCUUUUAUCCUAUUAGUUUCUUCAUUUAUUUGCAGAUCUCUGGCCCUAAGUAUAAAGAUCAGUAUAAUUUUCUUAUCUUUUUUGUAGAAACCCAGUUGAAACAGGAUCUUGUGUAAUAAGUACUGAAGAUAAUGAGUAACUGCCUAACUCAGCAGAAGGAGACACAGACCGAACAGGGGAACAGCCUACUUCCAGGUUUGAGGUGGAGGAGUCAUCAAGCGUUUGGCUCUGUCAACACAAAUAAGGAUGAUGGAGACGUGGCCUGCAGCAAUGGCCUAAGAAACCAUAUUGAAAUAGUGCUCUCCAUGGUCAAUGGAGUGUGUCUGGCAGAUUUAUAUGAGGGACAAACUAAAGCAUGGGUGUCCAGCUUUUGGCCUAUCUGGCCCACCUUGAAUAGAGAGGAGUUGUCUUGAGGUGCAUGUGUAUAGAUCACUCUGACAGUAAUGCCUCAUAUUUAUUUCCAUGGAAAUUACAACAAAUAUGAAGAGCAGAAAAACUCUCUUUGAUAGAGAAAAUUCUCAGCUACAAAACAGUGUUUUUCAGUGCAGUCAUCGCUGUUAGCUAUGCAUUUUUGCCAGUGGUGAACAAGAGCAUAUGUGUCAUGCUCUUAAAAAUCUGUAUCACUCUCUGGAGAUGACCCACUGUCAAAACACACCACCCACUGCCUUGCUGUGAUGACAUCCACUGUUUGGUCUAUGUAAAUAUACAGCAAGCAGCAGUGAAUGGUAAUGGGUACUAUCUUCUCCUCAUAAAGGAAUUACAUUCCACUCCUUUGCUUCAUAUGUACGUCCAUGCUAUACUACAUCUUGCUACUAUGUCCCUCUGCUGCCAUAUACAGCAACAAAAUUUAAUGGAAUAUUGGUGGGAAGACUCGUCCUCUACUGCCAUAUCACCAACAUUUAUCUCUGAGGUAGUAGGCCAACAAAACAGGAGGCAUUUCUCUCAGAGCAGCGCUCAAAAU
rnacentral:lncRNA from 1 species